UACGUAGGUGGCAAGCGUUAUCCGGAAUUAUUGGGCGUAAAGCGCGCGCAGGCGGUUUCUUAAGUCUGAUGUGAAAGCCCACGGCUCAACCGUGGAGGGUCAUUGGAAACUGGGGAACUUGAGUGCAGAAGAGAAAAGCGGAAUUCCACGUGUAGCGGUGAAAUGCGUAGAGAUGUGGAGGAACACCAGUGGCGAAGGCGGCUCGCUGGGACGGUACUGACGCUGAGGCGCGAAAGCGUGGGGAGCAAACAGG
rnacentral:rRNA from 1 species